GAGGGUGAGGAGGAACUGGGAAGGCUUCUAACAGGAGCUGGUAUUUUGAGCUGGGGCUUGAAGAAAGGAUAGCACUUCCACAGGUAGAUAUUGCUGGGAUAGGUGUGCUGGGAAGAAAGAAGAACUUGAGCAAAGGCCCUGAGGCUGGGAAAUGGAGGUGGUGGCAGGGAACUCCACAGGCUGUCUGGGGAAGCUGGGCAUCACCUCACAUGACCAACACUUCUCCAAGCUUCAGCAAAGGCCUUCAGCCAGCAUUCUGAGCUCCAGGCUGGGAGGAAGGCAAUUCCCUCUGCACAAACUCCUCAGGGAAGUCCAGGGACCUGCAAGGCCAUCAGAGCCCAUCUUCGUUUGGGGUAUGCCUUCAGAGCUCUGUAAGCUUCUGCCCUCGCCUGUGCACUCCUGGUCGCUCUGAUGCCUAAAAUGUAAGUGAUUCCCACAAAACAGGCCGCAAAUCUGUCCCUGUGCCAGGCUCAAAGCUGCCUCGCUAGAUUUUCCUCUCUAAUCUCAGACCCUCAGGAUUGCUCUGAAUCCUGGAUAAGAGGCAUUGCGGGGCGGGGGGGGGGGGGGGCUGUGAGGCUCCCCAUGGUGCCCAGUCUGUGCCCAGAGACGACAGCAGCACAUGGUGACUCCUGAACCACCUCCUUUUGUCCUGUGUCCUCUUGGCAGAUGAUCCCAGUUGUCCUUCCCCCAUGCCCCACCCCCAUGCCUGGUGGCACAGACACUUAGCGAUUUGCUCCUUAAUUGUCCCCCAGCUAGGCUGCGCAGAUGCCUCUCUUUAAUCUCUCCUGAUAAAUGAAUCGCCUCUCUCCUUUAAUCAUAUGUUCAUAUCCAAGCCAAUUUGAAUCCAUUUGGCAGGGAGUGUGUUGCAAGAGAUGCCAUGACUGCUGCUUCUCCCCACCCAGGGCCCUGGAGCCAGCGCAUCUGCUGUCCUCACCUUCAGCAAAGAGCCCAGGAGACCCAUCCAGGCGAAGGAUCUCCUACCUGAGUGAUGGGGACUUUUCAAAGUCAAUCAUUCACUCCUGUCCUCCAAGCAGGCCCGUGUGGGACUGGAGGGAGAUGGAUUCCGAAAGGCCUCAGAAGUGGGAGGGACAGGGUGAGUCCACAGCCUUCCUUGGUCAUUGAAGAAAGGGCCCCAUUAUCCCCCCUGGGAGAAAGUGCUGCCUUAAAUCUAACCCUAAUACUUUCUGUUCCCCUUUCAUUUCCUCUGAGCUGGUUCUCAGGGACGCUGCGACACUUUUUACAUAGCAACGUAUUCCAGACCAGUGUGUGAUCAUUUGUACUUGCCUGCUACAGCUACUGGCUGCCACCCCCAACGCCUUUCAUCUUUCCCCAGGAAGUCUUCUUUUCUAAAUCCUCCAGCCUGGUGGGCAGUCCAGGACAUGCUUGGUAAUGUACCAAGUUCUGUCACGUUUGGGGCUGCUGCUUCUUUCACCUACGGAGUGGCGUCCCCCGAUCCUAGUGGAAGCAAAACAAAACCAGACGAAUAAAACCUGCUAAACUGAGCGCUUCUGCCGCUAGCACUGAGACCUUGGAGAAGAGCCUUGACCUCUUGGGCCUCAGUUUCCCCAUCUGUAAAACAAGGUGGAAUUGCUGGCAGGAAUCUUUUGGAUCCUAGGUUCGGACAGAGCCCCUCAAUGCUGCCAACAGAACCUCUCACCCCCACCUUUUUAUCACCCUUGGUGAGGAGCCGGAGGGACCGAUGGGUGGCGCAAGUGGGGGUGGGAGAAGACAGACAUCUUCUCCCAGCGCGAGGGCUGUCUGGGCUUGGUUCCGUCCAGCAGCCCCAUGCGCCUCCGCGUCCUCUUCAUUUCCUUUCCUUUUUCCCGGCUGGUUCUGCCUGUCCAGGCAAGCGCCCUCCGGUUCACUGGGAACCCGGGCAUAUUAGCAUAUUCAUAUCUCAUUUACAUGACCUCGGCCUCCGGAGCACGGAACCUCUGGCUCCGCCUCCGUCUGGAGUUUCCCCGCCCCGUCCCCCACCCACCCCCGCGCGCUUCCCGGAAGCCGUGCCCCUUAAAAGGUCCUUGAGCCUGUGACUGGACCGAGCCCGUCGGCGUUGCCCUUGAAGGAUUCCAGAAGCACAAGGACAGGUCUCCUCGCGCAGCAACCCAACGAUACUGUUCCCCGCCCUUUUAAGGGCUGCUGGAAGUCCUCAGCAAGAGCUGAAGCUGUGUAGCGACUGGGGCUGAGGGGCCUGCCCGGCCUGUCAGUAGUGACUCAGAGGAUGAGGAGGACAAAAUCAAUAUAACCAUGGUGAGCACCUGCUAUGUCCCCAGUGCUUAUACACUUUGCCUACAUCUCAUUUAACCUUUAUCACAACUCUGUGAAGUGUCAUUGUCCCCGUGAGGAAACAGGCUCAGAGAGGUGACAUCCGGCCUAGCAGCGUCCUCAGCUUGGUUCCAGUAACUGGCCAGGCGUCUUUGAGCUACUCUGGCAUUGUCAGAGGGUGAAGGGGGAGGCGAGAAGGCCAAGAAUUGCUGUCAUGAUCCUCAUCUCAAAUCACUGCGUGCCUGGUAUUCACCAAGGCCUGCCCUUAGGAAGGAAGCACUUCUUGACAGUUUGGGGGGGAAAUGUCAACCUCACAUUUGUGUUGCUCCUUAACAAUUCUCAGAGCAUCCCCCAUACAUGAUCACAUUUGUGUUUCAACACAUUUGUGUUUCAACAACGGUGCCAACAAUAUGAAUAACAGUUCCACAUGGCCUGGAAUGCAUAUUUUAAGCUCUAUUCACCUCAGUCUAAUUUCAUUACAGUACAAUGGAACAAUCCAGACCAUUCUCUGGGAUUUGAUCUGGGAGGAGUGAUUUCCAGAGCAGUAGCCAUUUUGAAGUUAACAAAGAUGCUAGAUUUAUUUAGAAGGAAUUUUACAGAGAACUUGAGUGUUCUGUAGUGUCAGCCCCAGUGAUGGGUCAUAUACAUGAGGGAGAUUCCAAAAAGGAUGUGUGCUUUGCAAUUGAAGUCAGUGACAUAAAUCUCCCAGCGGAAUACUUAAAUGCGUGAAUAGAAUUUGCUUUAGAUAUCAAAAGUCAGCUGUGACAGUUUGGCAAAAAAAAAAAAAAAACAACCUCAAAAAGGAUAUUAAGUUUUGACACCAUCCAGGCAAAUUAUAUUUGAGGUGGUUUAAGAGUCAAAGAGUUUCCACAUUUUAAUAAAUUUUUAUAUGUUUUGUGCCACAUCUACGAUCUGACUAGAUUAGAAAAAGAAACAAAAGGAUUUGUGGAAGAGAGGACACUAGGGAAUUUGAAAGUGGAGAAUUUAAAAUAUAUAUAAAAUAAAAUCCUGGUAUGGGAAUACAGCCAAUAGCUUCAGAAAUUUUACCUCUUUGAAAGACAGGCCAACAACUGAUGACGAGGCAAAUAUAAAACUGUACGCGGGCUUCCCUGGUGGCGCAGUGGUUGGGAGUCUGCCUGCCGAUGCAGGGACACGGGUUCAUGCCCCGGUCCGGGAGGAUCCCACAUGCUGCGGAGCGGCUGGGCCCGUGAGCCAUGGCCGCUGCGCCUGCGCGUCCGGAGCCUGUGCUCCACAACGGGAGAGGCCCGCGUACCGCAAAAAAAAAAAAAAAAAAAAAAAAAAAAAAGUACGUGAUGAAAUAGGCCUCAUGGCUCAAAUUUAAUCCUGGGGACUGGCAUCAGUUACAGGUUGGCACCCUUGCUUAAGGGCUGCUUCUGGCCUCCAUGGGAAUAGUGUCCUCUGGAGAGCAAGGGAGAUUGAGCCUAGUGAGUGGCACUGCCCUGGAAGGUUCUGCACUAGAAGCACAGGUCCAUGGCCUGCUUUUGAGGGUCUGGGAACUCAUCUGUGGGGGCUGGCCUUUCCAGUGAACCACAUACUGAGCCACUGGACAGGAUUUAAGAGUAGAAAAGGAGCUUCCGCUCCCAGGCACUGGCAAAAUAAGCCUAGAGAAGCAACUCGAAAGUGAGGCAGUCUUAAGCUCUUUGAAUGGGUUCUUAAGGGAACAUGUACACAUGACAAAAGUACAUGUGAAAACAGAUAAAUAGAUAAACGUUAGAUGAGACUUCUGAAAAAUAGAAAUAACUUUGUUUGGGGAUGUGGGAUUAUAGAUGAAGUAUCUGUGCUUGUAAUAAAGUUUUCAUACAAUUUUUCUUUUAAGUCAGUACAGAUGUGUAUCUGUGUCAAACACCAAAGAAGGCCCAAAAUUGUCAUAUUAGUGUGACUGUAAGAGUAGCGUCUUUCCCAGCAUUGCAUAUAUCGAAGUAGUAGCCCUGGGCAGGGCAGGGGGGGUGGGAUGGUAAACCAUGUGGCAAAGCUGCUUAGAAACUGCUUAGAUCCCUUGCUCAGGGAAAGCCAUUCUUAAAGCAGCAGGCGUCUCUUGGCAUGGCUGAGAAUGGAAGCUGGAAGAGGAACAGAUUGGAGGGUGGAACUUGAACAGGGUAUUUAGGGCAGAGGAGCAGUGGGGGAGGGGGAGAUAAGAGCAUCCAGACAUGGCCUCCCAUGCAGCCUGGAGCCCUGCAGGUGACAGGUUUAGGCAAGGAGACUCGUGUUGAUGAAAGGACUGGUGAUGGAGUGGGGUGAGGAGAAGCCGAGAGUCAAGAAGGUCAUUUAGGAUAUUUGUGUUAUGGUUAUAUACUUUUUUUUUCCCCUUUUUUUAAAGAUCUGUAAGGGUGGACAUGACUCAAUGGCCAGACUGUGCCUGGCUAAUGGAUUCCUGCUUCUCAUACCUGACUCCAUCUAAGAAGGUUUAGCGCCUUAAGGAAAAAGUAUUUUCGCUGUUUCCGAGAGUCAAGUGACGGGAAUGUACUAUAUGGAGGAAAUGAACUCACACCAAAGCAACGGGCAAAUCUGUCGAAUUAUGAAAUGCUGAGUGAUGUUCUAAUUCCCAAGCCGUCCUGCGGUGGAUGAAGCGGGAGCUCCCCAUCCCUAGGAGUAAUCAGCAAGCUGAUUCUGCUGGUGAAUGCCUUCGGCCCUGGAAUUUCAAUGCCUCCUAGACCAAGCUGGGCACCCAGAAUGCUGCCUCCCUCUGCUGGCCUCCCUCUCUCCAGCCUGAUUUCCUUUGGAGAUUCUAGAGGGUCCAGCUCAAAACUUGGCACGAUGCCCCGGGAGAAGGAGAAAUGAUCCUGAACAAAUGGAAAGGACAGAGUGAGAGGAGGAGCCUUCUCCUGAGACACAGAAAGGGACCAGGCGUCUGCCUAGGGUGUGAGGGCCCCUGGAGUGAGGGCUCCCUCUGUGCAGGGCAGUGUGCUAAAUGAGUACUCUUGCAUGCAUGUGGGACAGAGCUGGGAUUUGUAAGGCCUAAUUCUUUUUUUAAAAAAUUUAUUUAUUCUUAUUUUUAUUUAUUUUUGGCUGUGUCGGGUCUUUGUUGCUGCGUGCAGGCCUUCUCUAGUUGCGGCGAGCAGGGGCUACUCUUCGUUGCAGUGCAUUGGCUUCUCAUUGCCGUGGUUUCUCUUGUUGCAGAGCAUGGGCUCUAGGCGCGCAGGCUUCAGUAGUUGUAUACGGGCUCAGUAGUUGUGGCUCGCGGGCUCUAGAGCGCAGGCUCAGUAGCAGUGGCACAGGCGCUUAGUUGCUCCGUGGCAUGUGGGACCUUCCCGGACCAGGGCUCAAACCCGUGUCUCCUGCAAUGGCAGGCGGAUUCUUAACCUCUGUGCCACCAGGGAAGCCCAGGCCUAAUUCCUAUACAAUUUGGUGUGUGUGUGGGGGGCUCUGUAAGAAAAGGAAAAGAGGGACUUCCCUGGUAGUGCAGUGGAUAAGACUUCGUGCUCCCAAUGCAGGGGGCCCAGGUUCGAUCCCUGGUCAGGGAACUAGAUCCCACAAGCUGCAACUAAGGAGUCCAUGUGCCGCAACUAAGGAGCCGGUGAACUGCAACUAAAGAGCCCUGGAGCUGCAAGUGAGGAGCCUCCGGCCACAACUAAGACCUGGUAGAACAAAAGAAAGAAAGAAAGAAAAAAGAAAAGGAAAAGAAAAAUUGUGAAUACAAAAUUAGGUGCUAGGAUUUGGAAGAGAUUGUGCAAUUAAGGAGCCCUGUGGUUGCAGUUUCAUUAGCUUCCCGAUAAAUCAACCUCUGCAUGCAUUAUCUAGUUUAAUCCUCACAGUCCUAGGUGUAAGUAUUUUUAUCCCCACUUUUGGCACAUUUAAGAUGGCUCGCAAUUCUUGGUCACUCUUCCCAUCACAGGCUCUGUGACUGCUUGACCUAUAGAAUAUGGUGGAAGUGACACUGGGACACUUUCUGGCCCAAGCCUUAAAAGUAGCUUCCUCUUCUUGUCUUGGAACACCCACUCUUGGACCCCUGAACCUCCAUGUUAGUCCAGCCACCUGUUGGAGAGACCACGUGGAGAGGCCCCGAGACUACAUGGAGAGCCAGACAUAAGAGUGAAGCAAUCUUGCACCCUCCAGCCCAGCCCAGCCACCAGCUAAAUACCACUGAGUGACCCAAUUAAUGCCACGUGGAGCAGAAGACUCAUCCAGCCAAGACCCAUCUGAACUCCUGACCUACAAAAUCAUGAGAUAGAAUAAAACAGUUGUUGUUUUUAGCCGCUAAGAUUUGAAGUAGUUUUUUUAUGCAGCCAUAACUGAAACACCGCUUUACAGCCAAAGACAUGAAGGCUUACAGAGGUUAUAACUUGCCCAAAGCCACGUACCUGGUAAACACAGGCACUGAGGUGUGAACCUCUGUUUGCCUGUUCCAAAACCUGUUCCCUUAACCACCGUGCUAUACCAAGGAGUAGUUAGACUUGUAAUGAUGAUUCUGAUUUGACUUUUUUGCUGUUUCUCUCAUGGCCAUACUAUGAGUGGGAGAAAAUAAUAGAUCAGGACAUCCAUGUGACCAUAGGA